UACGAAGGGGGCUAGCGUUGCUCGGAUUUACUGGGCGUAAAGGGCGCGUAGGCGGACAGUUAAGUUGGGGGUGAAAGCCCGGGGCUCAACCUCGGAAUUGCCUUCAAUACUGGCUGUCUUGAGUGUGAGAGAGGUGUGUGGAACUCCGAGUGUAGAGGUGAAAUUCGUAGAUAUUCGGAAGAACACCAGUGGCGAAGGCGGCUCACUGGCCCGAUACUGACGCUGAGGCACGAAAGCGUGGGGAGCAAACAGG
rnacentral:rRNA from 1 species